GCACUGCUGAGGAGUUCAAUAAUAGGACGAAACGGCUGUUCAGUGC
rfam:Schistosoma mattheei strain Denwood, Zambia genome assembly, scaffold: SMTD_scaffold0008525